GGACCCCUGCGAUGUCCAGCACUGGGCUCUGAGGACAUGGUGCUCCCCAGGACCUUCGACACCCGGGGUCUGAGGGGCCC